CGUUAAGGCGGUUGGCAAAGUUGGUUGUGAAAUCUCAGGGCUCAACCCUGAAAUUGCGUCCAAUACUGGUCGACUAGAGUGCAAGAGAGGAAGGUGGAAUUCCCGGUGUAGUAGUGAAAUGCGUAGAUAUCGGGAGGAACACCAGUGGCGAAGGCGGCCUUCUGGCUUGCAACUGACGCUGUAGCGCGAAAGCGUGGGGAGCGAACCAGAUUAGAUACCCGGGUAGUCCACGCCCUAAACGUUGUGUACUAGGUGUUGGGCGUAUUGACGCGCUCAGUGCCGUAGCUAACGCAUUAAGUACACCGCCUGGGGAGUACGGUCGCAAGAUUAAA
rnacentral:rRNA from 1 species